CUUCCAGAAAUCUCCUAAAUGAGGGGAUGAAAUAUUUGUUGAGCCAAAAGGAUCCACCCUUCUUCUCUUAUUCGAAAGCUCAUUUCUCGAAGAAAACUCUUCAGAAGCAUAAAAUUUAUCGAGAACAGAUUUCAAAGUCUCGCGAAUGGAAUUUGGAAACUGCAUGCAUUCUUCUGGCGUAUCUUUCUGUUCUCCUUCACAACAAUUCAUCACAAAAACAUUGAUCAUCCUUCCUCCUAAUGUAGCCAUUUCGACAGACCUAGUGCGAAAACCGAGUGGGUCGAAUACCCGUUUAAGGUUGCAGCCUUUCAACUGUCACUUCGUCAACUUCCGUUGGUACGAGAAUAUCUUUAGUGGCUUCUGAAACAUUCAUUCGAAGAUCUUUCAAUACUUCAAUGGUUGAAGUUAACAAUGAUGCCUUAUCCAUCUGUAAAUUUAUCGGGAAGGAUCAUAUGAUUUUCAAUAAAAUUUAUAUCUUUUUUUGAAAAGUU